UGUGGUAUAGCUUAGAGGUAGAGUACUUGCCUCGCAUGUAAGAGGCCCUGGGUUCAAUGUCCAGCACCACAA
rnacentral:tRNA from 2 species